rnacentral:rRNA from 1 species
UCCGGUUGAUCCUGCCGGACCCCACUGCUAUCGGGAUAGGACUAAGACAUGCUAGUCGUGUGCCUCAGCCAAAACGAGGCACGGCGCACAGCUCAGUAACACGUGGCUAACCUGCCCUUAGGACGAGAAUAACCCCGGGAAACUGGGGCUAAUGCUCGAUAGGUGAAGAACUCUGGAAUGAGUCUUCACUUAAAAGAGUCUGCGUUAUGCUCGUAGACUCCGCUUAAGGAUGGGGCCGCGACCGAUCAGGUUGUUGGUGAGGUAAUGGCUCACCAAGCCUUUUACCGGUGCGGGCCGUGAGAGCGGGAGCCCGGAGAUGGGCACUGAGACAAGGGCCCAGGCCCUACGGGGCGCAGCAGUCGCGAAAACUUUGCAAUACACGAAAGUGUGACAGGGCUAUCCCGAGUGCCAUCCGCUGAGGAAGGCUUUUACCCAGUCUAGAACGCUGGGGGAAUAAGGAGAGGGCAAGUCUGGUGUCAGCCGCCGCGGUAAUACCAGCUCUCCGAGUGGUGUGGAUGUUUAUUGGGCCUAAAGCAUCCGUAGCUGGCUAAGUUAGUCCCCUGUUAAAUCCAACGAAUUAAUCGUUGGAUCGCGGGGGAUACUGCUUGGCUAGGGGACGAGAGAGGCAGACGGUAUUUCCGGGGUAGGGGUGAAAUCCUAUAAUCCCGGGAAGACCACCAGUGGCGAAGGCUGUCUGCUAGAACGCGCCCGACGGUGAGGGAUGAAAGCUGGGGGAGCGAACCGGAUUAGAUACCCGGGUAGUCCCAGCUGUAAACGAUGCAGGCUAGGUGUUUGGACGGCCACGUGCCGUUCUAGUGCCGCAGGGAAGCUGUUA